UGGAAGAGGCCCUGGAGGUUUUUCACCUUCCUCUGCAGCAUGGGGCAUGGGUCACUUGCAUGUUUAAAUUAGUGUAAAUGGCAGAUUCUCUGUAACUUGAAGUCCUUAAAUCAUGAUUUGAGGACUUCAGAAACUUAGCCAGAGGUUAUAAGUCUAUUACAGGAAUGGGUGGGUGAGGUUCUGCGAUCUGCAAUGUGCAGGAGGUGAGACUAGAUGAUCAUGAUGGUCUCUUCUGGCCUUAA